rnacentral:lncRNA from 1 species
AUCCACCCAAGACCCGGUUCCUCGAUUCCCAUCCUUACGACCGAGGAAAAAAGAGUAAAUUUUCCUAUUAUAGCCUUCUCUCGCACCUUCCCCGCUUCCCACCAGCCGUCUCCACUGUCCUCACCGUCCCCAUCCUCAUCCAUGGCGAAAUCUUCGCCCCCAGCCUCGUGAAGAUCUAGCACGUCCGCCAUCUCGCCUUCGAUCGAGAUCUCGUCUGUGCCGCUCAGACACUAGGUACCUCGGGAAACUGUCGCAGAGGGGAAAGGUCGCCAGUCAAGCUGACCAAUCAAAGGCUAACUCUAAAUCCCUCCCUCUGCACGGUAAAAACACGCAAAUUGGGGCGGGCCUAGUGCGGAAAGAUACCGGAAGUGUUUCUGUGGCCAUCUUGAACAGAUCGCAAGCUAAAUCAUCCAUCUUAGGAGGUACAGACUACAGGGGGCCGUGGCUUCCUCUUAACCGCGGCAGCUGCUGAUAAAUACUGUACUAUUAACAGUGAGGCCCGGCGUAAUUUCCUUAUUAGAGGGCUUCUUUACGUCUCUUCAUCCCAAACUGGGAAAUGCUUGCUGGCCUGCUCUAUAGUGCUGUUGCUUAAAAAGUCAUCUGUGAAGAAAACCAGAGGGAGAAAUUUCACCUGCCAAAGUGGAUAAAGAGUGGCUCAGAAAUCAAAGAUGGGGAAAUAGAGGCCAGAAGUAGAAGAAAAUAGAAGAAACACACUUGGUGAAAUGAAAAUUAGACCCUGAAUAAAAACUGUGAGUAGUCAAGAAAUAGGAAGUUUCAAAAGGAGACAGUUAAUCUACUGGGAUAUAUCUGCUGAUGAUGGAGGG